AUUGAACGCUGGCGGCAGGUCUAACACAUGCAAGUCGAGCGGAUGAAGGGAGCUUGCUCCUGGAUUCAGCGGCGGACGGGUGAGUAAUGCCUAGGAAUCUGCCUGGUAGUGGGGGAUAACGUCCGGAAACGGGCGCUAAUACCGCAUACGUCCUGAGGGAGAAAGUGGGUGAUCUUCGGACCUCACGCUAUCAGAUGAGCCUAGGUCGGAUUAGCUAGUUGGUGGGGUAAAGGCCUACCAAGGCGACGAUCCGUAACUGGUCUGAGAGGAUGAUCAGUCAGACUGGAACUGAGAAACGGUCCAGACUCCUACGGGAGGCAGCAGUGGGGAAUAUUGGACAAUGGGCGAAAGCCUGAUCCAGCCAUGCCGCGUGUGUGAAGAAGGUCUUCGGAUUGUAAAGCACUUUAAGUUGGGAGGAAGGGCAGUAAGUUAAUACCUUGCUGUUUUGACGUUACCAACAGAAUAAGCACCGGCUAACUUCGUG
rnacentral:rRNA from 1 species